AUUGAACGCUGGCGGCAGGCCUAACACAUACAAGUCGAGCGGCAGCACGGGUACUUGUACCUGGUGGCGAGCGGCGGACGGGUGAGUAAUGCCUAGGAAUCUGCCUGGUAGUGGGGGAUAACGUCCGGAAACGGGCGCUAAUACCGCAUACGUCCUACGGGAGAAAGUGGGGGAUCUUCGGACCUCACGCUAUUAGAUGAGCCUAGGUCGGAUUAGCUAGUUGGUGAGGUAAUGGCUCACCAAGGCGACGAUCCGUAACUGGUCUGAGAGGAUGGUCAGUCACACUGGAACUGAGAAACGGUCCAGACUCCUACGGGAGGCAGCAGUGGGGAAUAUUGGACAAUGGGCGAAAGCCUGAUCCAGCCAUGCCGCGUGUGUGAAGAAGGUCUUCGGAUUGUAAAGCACUUUAAGUUGGGAGGAAGGGCAGUUACCUAAUACGUGAUUGUUUUGACGUUACCGACAGAAUAAGCACCGGCUAACUCUGUGCCAGCAGCCGCCGUAA
rnacentral:rRNA from 1 species